rnacentral:rRNA from 1 species
CAGUCGCCGCGGGAAUACGUAGGUGGCAAGCGUUGUCCGGAAUUAUUGGGCGUAAAGGGCUCGCAGGCGGUUUCUUAAGUCUGAUGUGAAAGCCCCCGGCUCAACCGGGGAGGGUCAUUGGAAACUGGGAAACUUGAGUGCAGAAGGGGAGAGUGGAAUUCCAUGUGUAGCGGCGAAAUGCGUAGAUAUAUGGAGGAACACCGGUGGCGAAAGCGGCUCUCUGGUCUGUAACUGACGCUGAGGCUCGAAAGCGUGGGGAGGGAACAGGAUUAGAUACCCGCGUAGUCCCUGUCUCUUAUAC